AACGACCGAGCUCAGCGCGCACAUUGUUCCACCUGGGGGCUUGGUUUUAUUCCGUUCUUCUUCAGCUUUGCAGUUGAAAUAUGCAACAAAUUGCCCAACUUGAAAAAAUAUAAAACUAUGAACAGUUGAAACAAGUAAUAUUUAGAAGGAUUGCUCUUGAAGAUUGGCAAGUGAAGUGCUCUAUUCUGUUGCAACUUGUUUUUCUUUUGAAGUGAGGGUUAGAAUACCUUCCUAGCAGGGGUUUGCCCUCCCAAGGGGGGUUUGGACAGUGUUAUGGCAGAGCCGUGCUGCUGCAGUAUCUUGUCUCAUUUGUUAGCAAUAGCUUGUCAACCUGUUACUGGUUCCCUUUGGAAGUAGAUCCUCCAGUAAUGCUUCGUUUCAGUGGUUGGGCUGGAUGAUCUUAGAGGUCCUUUCCAACCUUAAAGAUUCUUCUGAAGCGUCUAUCUGCUCCUCGUCCUGCAGCUUCUCAGCCGCAGAUUUCAUCUGACAGGAUGCAUUGUGGUCAGCUGGAAAGAACUUCUGUGGCACGGUAAAAAUAGCAUGAAAUACAUUCAGUAGCAAAGCAGUUGGAAUCCAGGAGAAGUGGAGAGCCCUGUAUUCCUGGAGGAUUAACCUUAAUUGUGAGAAAACAGUCUCCACGUAUAAACAUCACUCUUCCAAAUGCCACUGCUACAAACACUAAGUGGGAUGUACAGAUGGAAGAUGAAAGUCAUUUACUGCCUUUGUAUCAUUACCAAAAGUGGAUAGUUCAGCCGUUCAUUGCCUUCUGAAACUUCUUUUGAGAGGUACAAGGUAAGCCAGUUUCUAUCUGACAGAGCUAUGAAAUCAUCCUGGCUAGCAGGUAGCAAACGUGAUUUUGUCACAGGAACUCAACUUCUAAAGACAGAGAGCUGAGAAAGAUGAUGUUCUGUCAAACCUAGUUUCAUGAAACACAGAAGCUUACUUAAUUCCCUUUUGAUAAACUGUGAGAGCACCACUCCCAUUUCCCCCUCAUCCACUCACUCUCAAUGGACCCGCUGACAUGACUUCAUGUACUGACUUGUCAAAGGACUAAAGGGCAGAAAAAUAUCCACACACACAAUAUUUUAAGAUUCAUCUGCAGUAAGUGCCAUACCAAGGACAGGGACACGACUGUACAACAGGGAGUUGGGGGGCAAGGUCUCCGAGCAGCAGUCAGCUGUUACGUGAGCACGGCUGCUCAGGGAAUUACAGUCUUAACCGUUUUUUCUUGAUUCUGAUGGCAUUUUUCCAAUCAAGGCUUUAAAUCAGACUGAAGGUAAAUGUAAGAUCUACUUAAGAAAUGUGGACACUUGUCAAACCAUCAGUGUCACUCAUCAGCACAGUACUCUCAAACGUGAUCAGUGAACGCUCGCCAGGUGUUCUCAAGUGUCACUUCCAAUUUUUUACGCCGUUGAUACCAAGUGUGGAAUGGUACUGAUAAGUGAAUGAAUAAUGCUAGGUUAAGACAGUCCACACAAUGGAAACAUCUAUGUAAAUAUUAGCAUGAAAGUGUAUUUUUCUCCUAUUUGCAAAAGAGAUCCCUUCUGCUUUCUCCCUCUUUAUUCUCCCUUCCGCCCCCCAGUCUUAAGGUUUCCAGAUGAUCACUUGCAGGUACUUUUAAAAAUGCUAACAUUCUUUAACUCCUAACUCUUAGAAGAGAGAAUUCAUUCGCAGGAUCUCUGUGUCAGGACUAUGAUUAUAAUCUGAUCUCUGCUUCAAACAGGUGACUAUCCUUCUGAAUCAUUCCUUUGGCACAGAUAAACAUUAAAUUUGUACUACUCUGUUUGAAGUAAUUCACAAUUUUGCUUGACAACAAAGCACAGGAUGAGUAUCAUUAAAUUUUAUUAUACAAAACUGACAAGAUAUGGCAUUCCUUCAAAUUAAUAAAAACAACAACCAAGUCAAAACAAAACUGCUAUACCUGCAACAGUGUUGUUAAUGGAACAAUUACUACACAACCUUUUGUUCAGCAGCAAUAUUUACCUGCAAGACCAUUUUAUAGACGUGAGAGGUAUGAUUAAAAAAAUAUUCCAUCAGUUCAAGCAAUAGUUUAAUUUUCCAUGAAAUAAGUCUUUCUAUAAACACUUUAUGUUCAGUCAAAACAAACACUUUCGAGUUUUCUUACCUUAGACAACAUAUAAAACAACCAGACAGGUUUGGGAAUCAUCAGAGAAGUCUAUCCCAUGGGAGAAGUCUAAGUUCUGUAUUUCACUUGAAAAUGUCUGUCUUUAUAAAAUAAGUACUAUCAAUAGCAUUUCCUGGCCAAAGAUUUAUAGCAAAAAAAAAAAAAAAAAUUCUGCUUCUGUGAUGUUUUAUUCGUCAGUGCAGCAAAAAGUCUUUUGGGUUUGUAUUUGGUACCUCAUUUCUGUGUCAAAUUCAGAACUUGCAAAACAGACCCAGGGAAAGGUUUCUGUUAAUUGUAUUCAUAAAAGCUCUGCUUCAUUGCACAGGAUUUACAAAAGGACAGAACUAAGUCUUUCCUCUGCUUCUCUGCUCAACAAAUACAUUUCCAACAGUUUUCCCUUUCUCCCAGUGGAAGGAAUGACUUCUUGGAGUUCUUACUAUAAACAUGAAAUAAAAAAGGGGAACUAGGUAACUUUGUUAAGCUCCAGUUCAGCUGUAAAUCACCUUUAAACAACAGUGCUACUCAGUGCUACGAACAACUGCACAACUUGCAUUUCUGAAGAAAAAAACAACCCAAACAAGGAUGAAAUUCUCGGGGAAGCUCACGAACAAUUGUGCCAAGAGAGCACAAGGCAUCUCUGCCUAAGCUUUACAAAAAGUGCUUCUCUGCAGGACGCAGUCACUGCGAUAAACUUCUGAGAUGGUCCCAGGGCAUAAGUUAUCCUAGACUCGCACACACACUGGUACUUGUUACACUGUGCUUUCUGGGAAGAGAUGAUGCUGCAGCACUUUACAUUUGACAUUCUCUCUCCUCCUCUUCCAGAAGAAAAAACCUUCUAUGCAAGAUAAAAAUAAUUCUGAAUCAUUAGUCAUGUAUUAAAGAGCUAGUUUUGAAUUAUUUAUUCAUCUAGUCAUAUAAAAUAAAGUGUAAAAGUAUGAAGGUAUCAGAACGUGGCUUUCAGCAAGGCAGUUUGGGAAGUAGGAAUUCAACGUAAAACAAUAUAUUUUUACCCUCUUUGAAAAGGGUCACAUCAGAAUGAAUGAAAAACACUGAAGAAUUUCACUUCAAGCCUGCACGCCUGCCUUUUGUCCUUUACCAGAGAAGAGAGACCACUGGAAGACUCCCCCAGGGUUUCAGUUGUGUUGUUCUUUGUGCUCUUGUGUUAGGUCUGGCUGGAACUAUGUGCUGCCCUCUCUGGGUGGCAGGGACGGCUGGGGCUGCUGCGGUGGCUGUGUGCCUGUGGCAGUUUUGAUAGAGUUCAGGGUUUUGCUAAACCAAGAGUUUUUGGCAGCUUGGAUUUCAUUCAUAAGGGCUCCCCUCUGGUGCUCCAGCUCCUAAGAAAGCAGAACGGUCAGAAGUGAUCAAAAAGAAUUUAAAAAAAGAAAAAAUAAAAGUCUUCAAACUCAGUCUUCUAACUUUCUUUGCAGCCUCCCAGGCACUGGGGAGAAAGGACGCAUUAAAACCACCAGAACAGCAGAUGAUGUUUAGAUAUACAAAUGAGAAUCCUUAUUUCUGUCUUUUUAAGGACAGACAGAGGAUUCUGGAAGUUCACACGCAUACAGCAGUACAAGUAUAUGCCUUUUUUUUUG